UACGAAGGGGGCUAGCGUUGUUCGGAAUUACUGGGCGUAAAGCGCACGUAGGCGGAUACUUAAGUCAGGGGUGAAAUCCCGGGGCUCAACCCCGGAACUGCCUUUGAUACUGGGUAUCUCGAGUCCGGAAGAGGUGAGUGGAAUUCCGAGUGUAGAGGUGAAAUUCGUAGAUAUUCGGAAGAACACCAGUGGCGAAGGCGGCUCACUGGACCGGCUAUUGACGCUGAGGUGCGAAAGCGUGGGGAGCAAACAGG
rnacentral:rRNA from 1 species